CGGUGGAGAUGGCUCGUGAGAAUUGCUUAUCCUGUUGUAAUAUUGAUGUAUCCAUGUGAACAUUCUGGGGUGUGUUCCGUCGCUUCCUGUUGCUUCAUGAAAAUCAACCAACUUUGCCCUGAAAAAGUCACAGAUUUACUGUUGUCCUUGGAAACCGGAAAUGAAAAUGCAAAGAAUUAUUAUUUUAAGAAGUUCAUUUGAAAAAGUUUCGGUGAAGACGGACUCUUAGACUCUAAUGAACAGAGGGUUCUCUCUGUUGAGUCAUGGCUCUACAACCCACGCUCCGUCAGUUACAAUCCUACAAUACAAGGUCUAAACUAUCCUACUUGCAGCACAUGCUGUUUUGUAUCGUAGCUGAGCUGAUUGCAAUCGUGGGUUUAUAUCCCAUGUUCGGCCUAUAUUCCCUUGUAGAGACGUUUUUCCCAGCAAAUGGGAAGUAACUCGCAAUCACAGCCUUUAAUAAGUAUGGUAGCGUUAGAUUAACAAGCUAUAGCUAUAUUUCAAGCCCUUUUCUGCUUAAUAUCAUCAAUGAGCAGUUCAUCUUUCACGCUGGAGUCAACAUGGCUUAUACCCCUUCACAGUUAUUUUCUUUCGGCUCACCUUAUUCUUAAUGAUCGCAGAAGUGCAGCAAUUUCUGUUGCACCAAUCCAUUUGCUUGUAUUAUGAAGUUUGUUACCAAGCUGUUCUGCGCCUUGUUUAUCGAAUCCUGCAAAGUUAUACGUCAUUUUCUUCAUAAAAACUAGUAAAUGACACCCUUUGAAGGUUUAUACUUAAUAUGUAUAUUGAGAGGAAAUAUAAAGUGACAUUGAAAUUUUGCAUCUAGCAAGUGGUUGACCUAAAUGAUUUGAAAUAUGAAACUUUUGAUUAGUUGAUUGAUUGAUUGUUUGUUUUGGCUUCAAAUAAACUGGCUGAUUGACAUAGAACUACAAAAAAGCUGAUGUAAAUGGCUUGGAAUCUUGAAGUUUGGUCCUUUUUAUGUUAUGCUAUUUAAGAGGUUUUUGGGAACAUUCCUUGAGAUGUGGUCACACUUUGGGAUUUGCCAUUCUGGAAUCUCGUAACUGUAGAUGCAUUUCAUACCAGAGCAUGGACUUGGACCAAGCACACCGGUUUGAGACUAGAGAUCUAAGAUUCGCCCUGUGCAACUGAGAUUAGCACUUAAAUAAAAUGUGAUUUAGGCUGUAAGACAGGACUUGGAUUCUGUCACCACCUAAGACCUUAUGAGUUCAAGAUAGUCAGCCUUUUAAAGACCAAUUACACUUAAAAAAAUGACUUGUUUGUUAACUCUGAUAAAGACCAAUUGUGCCUUAGCAAAAAAUUAUGUUUACAUAUUUUAUUGUCAUUUAAACCUUUUCUCUUUCUUUGCAAAUUUUUAUAUUUUCCUUUCUAAAAGGCUUUAAAAUUUCCACUCAGAUAAACAACAGCCAUAUGCCAUAAAAUUUUAAUAGGUCAUAUUUAUGAAAGAAAAAACAUUACCAAGUUGCCAUGCAUUUUCAAUCAUUGACUGAAUUUUUGGUAUUGAGGGUAUUUCACCCCCAUCAAUCCCUGAAAAUAGAAAAAGGUACAUGAAGUUAACCAAGGUUCUAGUUGUGAAAAAAUUCUUAAACUCGUGUAUUUGCAAAUCAAAGCUAUUCCAUCAAAACUUAAUAAGUAACAAGUAUGUCAUUUCUUCAUAGAGAUACCUUUUCUUAGAAUAAUUCAAUCUGCAAUAAAUCUUCAUUUUGCUUUUCUAGCAAUAUCCAGUAUACUGCUAGUGCUUGGUUCAUUUUCAAACAGGUAUUCACCUCAGCAUCCUACAAAAUUCUUUUAGUGCAUGCUAACCUUUUGAAACCACAUCUCUGUAAAUACUACUGCGAAGCAGAGCAGAAAGGAUCAUCUGAGUGUUCCUAUAGCCACACCCCCAACCAGCAUCACCAACACCACUUGCAAAAUGAUCUGUCUCCAAGCAAAGUUGCACAGUACGGAUACCACUGACUCCAUUUGAAUAGCUAGCUUGAAGGCAGGAUAUGAGGCCUAAAACGUGUCAGCAAGCAAACUCAUUUCUUGAAGCAGAUUAUUCAAAAUAUUGAAAAGUCUUCUAGUUCUAUUGAUAUAGUUAGUAUUCAAAUAUUAAUGAUUUUAUGAAAUAUUAGUCCACUUAGACAUGUUUUCAAAAUCAAAAGUAACUUUUCAAACAAAAUAAGACAUUCUACACCAUUUGUUAGAAUUAUUCUCCCCUUUAAUGAUUAUACAAAACAAUCCAAUUUCAGCAAAGGUGCAGGCAAGUAAAAGUUUGUACAUACAAAUCAUAUUAUGUGUUAAAUAUAUAUACACAAAUUUUCUUGGUUGGCAUUUUUUAAAGCACUUCCUAUAAUGAUUAUGGGUGUUUUUCAAUGCUUUUCCUGUUUAGAUUUCCCUUUUCACACCUCAUACAUGAAAGCAUUUCUUCAAAAACUAUUUAUUAAGUAUUUGACUGGUGGCCAAAUUAAUUUGAUAUGGUAGAGACAAUAAUUAAUCAACAGAAAGCUUUAUCGAAAAGACAAUAUAUGUCAAAUAAAAACUUAAUUGAUGCAAAUAAUUAAAAACAAAGUUUUAUGUUGAGAAAUUGGCUAAUUAGACUAUCCAGAUAUGUGGUACUGAACAUGGUUGAAAAGCUAUGAACACAUCAAGAACUACAGUGUUGAGUAGAACUUUAAACAUGAUAUCCUCAGAUACAUACACUAAAACAUAUAAACUUUAUGUUAAUAUGUUACCUGCAAAUAGUCUUGAAUAUCUGCUUCAUGUACAUUAAGAGUUCCUGAUAGCAGAAACUAAAACCAAUAGCUGAAACCAAUGAUAAAGAAAAUCACUUGACUUACCUUGGGUGUGUGAUUCCUUGCUAUCAUGCCCAGUCAUAAGUGUUUCGUACAUAUCAGCUUUUCUUGCAUAAUAUUCACCUACACUCAUCUUCAUUUUUCCUACAUCCUGUUUCAUUUUUUGGUCAUACUGCUUCGUAUAACCACCUUGAUUCGGUAGCAUGCCAUAAAUUGUCUGCAAUGUAAAAUGAAGGUAAGAAUUCUUCAAAUUACGCAAAGAAAGAAAGAAAGAAAGAAAGAAAGAAAGAAAGAAAGAAAGAAAGAAAGAAAGAAAGAAAGAAGAAAGAAAGAAAGAAAGAAAGAAAGAAAGAAAGAAAGAAAGAAAGAAAGAAAGAAAGAAAG